rnacentral:misc_RNA from 1 species
AUUGGAUGUUGAGAUGAGAGCGCGUGGGGGAGGGCUGGAAUCUGGCCAUUCGACGUUGUCACCCAUCGUGGGGGAACUUCGUGAAGCUAGAAGAUGUGGUCGUUGCUCAAAGUGACUGGUGCCUCAAGACAUUGUGUGGAAUAUACUGUGUCAGUGUGUAGGUUGAUCGUCAACUACGUGAAGGCAUCGAAGGACAUUUUCUGAUAAGGCAGAGUACGCGCAUCUCCGUCGCGCCCUCCAACCGCGCUCACCAACUGCUGCUGCUCGAUGUACUCACCUUGCCACUGCUUUCAGAUAGCUUUCCCAUUGCUUGCAUAGUCACCUUGACAGCAGGACAUGAGAUGCAUGCCACAGAACGGUCCAAAGCCUCGACAGCUCUGCAGGUGCUCGGAUCCCAAGUCCGGGUGG